rnacentral:rRNA from 1 species
GAUCAUGGCUCGGGAUGAACGCUAGCUACAGUCUUAACACAUGCAAGUCGGAGGGGCAGCAUGGUCUUAGCUUGCUAAGGCCGAUGGCGACCGGCGCACGGGUGAGUAACACGUAUCCAACCUGCCGUCUACUCUUGGACAGCCUUCUGAAAGGAAGAUUAAUACAAGAUGGCAUCAUGAGUCCGCAUGUUCACAUGAUUAAAGGUAUUCCGGUAGACGAUGGGGA